GUUGUGGAACAAGUUACCUUGUGUGCUUCCCCUUCCAUUCCAUCAAGUCCUUGUAGCGGAGCCCAGUUGCAGUUGAACUUGAGAGGCGGCCUAGAGAAGGAAAGGAAACCUGUGGUCUAGAGGAGAAUCUGGCAGAUCAACAGACAAUUGCCAUCCUGGAGGAAACCCAGGGGAGCAGAAAGCUCCGGUUUGGAUUCCAAAUGCAACAAGGGACGCGCGAUGCAGUCCACUUGGCCACAUUACAUCAGCUGUCAUGAAGCUGGGAGGCUGGAACUCAUCGCUUCCUGGUCCCCAAAAGAGGAUCCUUGCAGGCUCGUGGACCCAAAGGGCAGCCGAGAGAGGGAACUCCUCGGACAAGGCCCUGACUCACCUGAGCCUGGCCUAGAACCUUGCUGUAAGCAGGGAAAGCCUGGGUUUAGCUAAGAGAUAAACAUGGGCACUUUUGACCUCUUCAUGUCCUUCAUUUGACAUUAAUGAACCUCAGAGAGAUAAAGACUGCUUUCCGUUGAACCGGAGGACCCAAGAUCUCUUUGUUUUGUGUUUGUUUUCUGAUUGGAAGACAAGUAGAGCUCCUUCCAGCUUUAUAAAA